UACGGAGGGGGCGAGCGUUAUUCGGAAUUAUUGGGCGUAAAGGGCGCGUAGGCGUCUGUACAAGUCAAAGGUGAAAUCCCUCGGCUCAACUGAGGAACUGCCUUUGAAACUGUACGGCUUGAGGCCGGGAGGGGGUAGCGGAAUUCCCAGUGUAGCGGUGAAAUGCGUAGAUACUGGGAGGAACACCAGUGGCGAAGGCGGCUACCUGGACCGGUUCUGACGCUGAGGCGCGAAAGCGUGGGUAGCAAACAGG
rnacentral:rRNA from 1 species